rnacentral:rRNA from 1 species
CAAUAGCGUAUAUUAAAGUUGUUGCGGUUAAAAAGCUCGUAGUUGGAGUUCUGCCAGGUGCCGCCUGUCCGCCCCAGUGGUGAGUACGUGGCGCGCAUUUGGCCCUUUCAAGGGGAGCGUAUCUGCACUUUAUUGUGUGGUGCGGGAUCCUUGACUUUUACUUUGAGGAAAUAGGAGUGUUCCAAGCAGGCUCUCGUCGUGCACAGCUCAGCAUGGAAUAAUAGCAUUGGACCUCGAUUCUAAGCUGUUGGUUGCCAGAAGCGAGGUAAUGAUGAAGGAGGAUAGGUGGGGGCAUUCGUUAUUUAACUGUCAGAGGUAGAAAUUCUUGGUAUUUAGUUAAAGACGGACUACUGACGAAAGCAUCUCGCCAGUGGA